rnacentral:snRNA from 2 species
UCACUUACCUGGACGGGGUCAACUCGUGAUCAAGAAGACGAGUGGCCUAGGCUAGUGACCUCCAUUGCACUCUAAGGAUGGGUGCUUAGCCUAAGGACUCCCCAAGUGGGAGAGCCUGCGUCAUUAUUUGUGGGCCUGUGGCAGAGGGGGCAUGCGUUCGCGCGGCCCCUAC